AUGCAGGUGGAGUAUCGGGCGUUGAUGGAGAACAAGACUUGGCGCCUCGUCCCGCGACCGCGCCACGCCAACAUCGUCACCGGCAAGUGGCUGUUCCGGCACAAACUGAAAGCUGACGGUACGCUCGAGCGCUACAAAGCGCGUUGGGUUGUUCGUGGCUUCUCCCAGCGCCCCGGGGUCGACUUCGACGAAACCUUCUCCCCCGUCGUCAAGGCUGCCACCAUCCGGGUCGUCCUCACCAUCGUCGCGUCGCAGCAGUGGCCCGUGCAUCAAAUGGACGUCAACAACGCCUUCCUCCACGGCACUCUCUCUGAGCAGGUCUACUGCCAACAGCCGGUCGGCUUCGUUGACACGGACAAGUAG
rnacentral:rRNA from 1 species